GAUGAAGAACGCAGCGAAAUGCGAUAAGUAAUGUGAAUUGCAGAAUUCAGUGAAUCAUCGAAUCUUUGAACGCACCUUGCGCCCUUUGGCCAUUCCGAAGGGCAUGCCUGUUUGAGUAUCAUGAACACCUCAACUCUCAUGGCUCGCCAUUAUGAGCUUGGAUUUGGGGGUCUUGCUGGCCUGUGGUCGGCUCCUCUCAAAUGGAUCAGCUUGCCAGUGUUUGGUGGCAUCACAGGUGUGAUAACUAUCUGCGCUUGUGGUUUUCCAUCAGAUAACCUUCAGUGAUGGAGGUUCGCUGGAGCUCAUAAACGUCUCCCCUAAGCGGGGACAGCCCUUUGAAUGUUUGAUCUCAAAUCAGGUAGGACUACCCGCUGAACUUAAGCAUAUCAAUAAGCGGAGGA
rnacentral:misc_RNA from 1 species